UACGAAGGGGGCUAGCGUUGUUCGGAAUCAUUGGGCGUAAAGAGCGCGUAGGCGGCCCGAUAAGUCCGCUGUGAAAGUCAAGGGCUCAACCCGUUGAAUGCCGGUGGAUACUGUCGGGCUAGAGUCCGGAAGAGGCGAGUGGAAUUCCUGGUGUAGCGGUGAAAUGCGCAGAUAUCAGGAGGAACACCGGUGGCGAAGGCGGAUCUCUGGGCCAUUACUGACGCUGAGGAGCGAAAGCGUGGGGAGCAAACAGG
rnacentral:rRNA from 1 species